GAGUUUGAUCAUGGCUCAGGAUGAACGCUGGCGGUAUGCCUUACACAUGCAAGUUGUACGAAAAUUUUUAAUUUAAGUGGCGGACGGGUGAGUAACACGUGAGAAUUUACCUUUAGGAGGAGGACAACAGUUGGAAACGAUUGCUAAUACUCCAUAUGCUUCCGAGUGAAAUAGAUUUAUCUGCCUGAAGAAAAGCUCGCGUCUGAUUAGCUUGUUGGUAAGGUAAUAGCGUACCAAGGCGACGAUCAGUAUCUGGUUUGAGAGGACGACCAGACACACUGGAACUGAGACACGGUCCAGACUCUUACGGGAGGCAGCAGUGGGGAAUUUUCCGCAAUGGGCGAAAGCCUGACGGAGCAAUACCGCGUGAGGGAAGACUGCCCAUGGGUUGUAAACCUCUUUUUUCAGGGAGGAAAAAAAUGACGUGUACCUGAAGAAUAAGCAUCGGCUAACUCCGUGCCAGCAGCCGCGGUAAGACGGAGGAUGCAAGUGUUAUCCGGAAUCACUGGGCGUAAAGCGUCUGUAGGUGGUUUAACAAGUCGGAUGUUAAAUCUUGAAGCUUAACUUCAAAACCGCAUUCGAAACUGUUAAACUUGAGUAUGGUAGAGGUAAAGGGAAUUUCCAGUGGAGCGGUGAAAUGCGUAGAUAUUGGAAAGAACACCGGUGGCGAAGGCACUUUACUGGGCUAUUACUAACACUCAGAGACGAAAGCUAGGGUAGCAAAUGGGAUUAGAUACCCCAGUAGUCCUAGCUGUAAACGAUGGAUACUAAAUGUUGAACAGAUCGACCUGUACAGUAUCAAAGCUAACGCGUUAAGUAUCCCGCCUGGGAAGUAUGCUCGCAAGAGUGAAACUCAAAGGAAUUUGACGGGGCCCGCACAAGCGGUGGAGCAUGUGGUUUAAUUCGAUGCAACGCGAGACNUACCAGGGUUUGACAUGAUACGAAUUUUCUUGAAAAAGAAAAGUGCCGUUUGGAACGUAUACAACAGGUGGGUGCAUGGGC
rnacentral:rRNA from 1 species